rnacentral:lncRNA from 1 species
UGAGAAGCACCUGUAUGCUGUAAGAGAGAGAGAGAAAGGCCUCACGAGAUUAGUAGCUAUAGACACUCACAUGCAUUAGAACGCACAUAUAAGCAUGUGACAAUUUGCUCUGUGAAUGUGUAAUACCCUCUUUCCUCUUUUUGCCAACUUGCUGGUGAUGCUGUUAUGGUUCUGCAGAUUGCCCUUAUACACCUGAAGUAAUGGAUAAAACCAAAUGUUUUAAACUACGAAGACAACGGGAAGGCAAUUUCAAGGCAAAGAAUAUGGACUGGCAAGUUCAGAGGAAGAAAAAUCUUAGCUGUAUUUCCCUUUGUCAGGCCAUUAGCUUUAUGACUGUUAUUAGAGUCUAAAGUGGCACUAUUAUGCAGACAAAAGGUGGCAGAGGGAGAUUGCGGAGGAUCUAUGAAAAUCCAAUUCUGAGAAAGAGAUUUAGACAUGACAAAGGUUGGA